GCAUUGAAAUGCAUUGUGUCUGGCAGGAUUUCUUGUAGGGUGUUCCACAGUGCCAUUCUUCUUCACAUGGAUUUCCUUGCUGACUUAAGGCUCAGAAUUCAGAAGGACAGAGGCUGUGGUAAAGGGAUCCUAAAACAAAAUUUGAGAUAUCCAAAGACGAAGGGCCCGAGCCUUUUCUUCACAAUCCCUCCUGCGAGCACCAGCUUCUCAGCCUCAAGACUGGAUUCCUAAAAACAUGUAAAAGAUACAAACAUGUUCCUUGAGAACGGGUUGGAAUAAUUCUAUAAUAAUUACGUGUUUUAUUUUUAGUAUUAUAAUAGAUUCAUUUUCUUCAUUUUUUCAUUCCAGUGAUGGAACCUAGGAAUUAGUGAUGAGGGGGUGGGGUGGUGACCUGCUGAGGUGAAGUUAUAUUUGCCAGGUGCCUGAAUGGGGGACUCUGGAGAGUAUAAAGUCACUGGGCAUCUGUGGAGAAAGCAGGGUAAGGGAGUAGAUUGGGGCAGAGAGUUAAAGACUUCACAGUUGAGUGGAGGGAAGAUGACUUGAACAUGGCCACCAAAGAAAGUAUGAUAUUCUCAUGAGAACCAAGGAUGUGAGCAGUUUGCAGGGAGUUCAGCACACACCUUGCUGUUGUGUUGCCUGCAAAGGGGCCUUAUGAUAUUUGCACUCUCUCUCGGUGGCUCUUCAAUUUUGUUGUAUUUGUAUGAUGUGUACCUACAAUUUAAUUAAUUGCUAUUUAUCAGGCACCAUGCAAGCAGAUGAUAUAAUUUCAUUUAAUCCAUUUAACAUGAGGUAGUUUUUACUACCCACGUAGCCCCAUUUGAUAGGUGAAGAGUCUGAUCUUCAAGGGCGAAAUGAAUCGAUUAGCUCAGAUUAGUACUGUAGAGCCAGGAUUUGACUCGGUCUGUGUGACUUCAAAGACCAUACUGUAUUUCACAGAGGUGGUACUCAACAGAACCUCCAACUGAGGCCCAACCUUUUUGCUUUAUGGCCAAAGACCAUGGUUAUGGAAGAAUUUGGCUCUUUAGACAUUCUGGACACUGGCCCUAGCUUUAUAAGUACUACAUUCUAACUAACUGGGAUGACCAUUUGCUUGCUGUGUCACUUAACUUUUGCUAUGCAAUAAACCACCCCCAAACUAGUGACCUUAAGAAAACAUUGAUUUAGUUCAUGAUUCUGUGUGAUGGCAAUCUGUUUGGGCUUGUUGGACAUUCCAUGUGAUCAGGACCAGAAUCAGUCCUUCUUGGCUGGACUCCAUCCCAUGUCUGGGAGCUUAAUUUCCUCCAUGGGUCCAUCAUCCCUCUGUAGGCUUGCCUGAGCUUGUUCACACAGUGGCAGAGGGCUUUUACGAGCAAAAAGGUAGCAGAAGCUUGAAUAUGUCCACACUUUUUUUUCUUUUUAGGGCUGCACUCAUGGCAUAUGAAAGUUCCCAAGAUAGGGGUCGAAUUGGAGCUGUAGCUACUGGCCCAUGUCACAGCCACAGCAGUGGUAGGAUCCAAGCUGUGUCUGUGACCUCCACCAUAGCUCAAGGCAAUGCUGGAUCCUUAACCCACUGAGUGAGGCCAGGAAUCGAAUCCUCAUCCUCAUGGAUACUAGUCGGAUUUGUUUCCACUGUGCCACAACGGGAACUCCUGUUAGCACUUUUUAAAGUCUGUCUUUGUGUCACCUUCACUAAUGUCCUAUUAUCAAAGCUAGUCACAUGUCCCACCAGGAUUCAGAGUGGAGAAAUAGAUUUCUCUACCUAGAAGAUUCUGCAGCAUCCUUUGGCAAGGGCAUCACACUACAAAGCUGUUACAUUACAAACUCAUGAGUGCAGGGAGGGAAAGAAUUUGUGAUCAUUUAUAAAAUCACCAGGAAUUCCCUGAUGGCCUAGCAGUUAAAGAUCCGGCAUUGUCACUGCAGUGGUUUGGGUUAUAGCUCUGGUGUGGUUUCACUCCCUGUCCUGGGAACUUCCUCAUGCCACAGGUGAGGCCAAAAAAAUAAAAACAAAAAAAACUCUUAUACUUGCCUAAUUCUGUCUAGUAAAUUGAAAACAAUUUAGUACUUCCCACACAGGAAAACCACACAAAAAUUGGAGAUGUGUCAUAGAAAAUGUUUAUUAUUACUGACAAAUAUGAAGCCCUCUGGUUGGUCAAAUAGUGAAAACUGCUCAUCAUACUUAAGCAACUGAAGAAAAUUGGACUGCCCUAGUCAUCACUCAUACUUAUUUACAAGUUACCUUUUUUUUUUUAAUUAGUAAAGGAAUUCUAAAAAUUGCUUAUAAGUCAAGUAUGAAUUUUCCAAAUGACUGUUAUAAAGGCACCCAGGGAACAAAAUAACCUUUGUUCCAACAUGCUUUAAAAUUUAGGAAAAUCUGUUUAUUUGAGCUUUGGAUUUUCCCCAUGAAGAUUAAAAAGCAAGUGAUUAUGUAAUUUAGAAAAUCUUUGGGAAGUCAUUUUUUUUUUUUCUGCCAUGUCCAAGACAUGAGAAAUUUUCUGGGCCAGGGAUUGAACCCAUGCUGUAGCAUCGACCUGAGCCACAGUCAUGACAACACUGGAUCCUUAACCUCCUAGGCCACCAGGGAACUCCAAGAAGUCAACUUUUUAAAGGCAAUAACAAAGAAAUGUCCCUUUAGGAAGAAAAGUUACCAACAAAUGCUGUGGAGUAAAUGAAUUUCUAUGACAAGAAGAGAGAAAUCCUCUAUCACAUAAAGAAAAAGAGACUUUCACUGAGAUUGUGCACCUGCAACAUUUGGUUGUGGAUUACGUGGAAGAAAUGUUUUCAGUGCACUCUUCCCUUUCCUUCAUUAUGCCCUUGAUUGCUACUUGGUCUGAAUUUCUCCCCAUGAAAGCACUAAAUUAUUUCAUCUUGACUAGGGAACUGAGGACCUAUUCACAGUAUGGCCGCAAAAGUUGGAGCAGAAGCUCUCAUAUUGCUCUGCUUUGUUAUUCUUGGCCAGAUCUCAUUCCCUUGAGGAUAAUGAACUCCCUCACAAUUAAUCCUUGUCAGCAGAAGACACUUUAUGAUAUGAAAUAAAAAUAAAAUUCCACCCCAAGAUAGACAGUAUAGAUAGUUUGAGAUAUGAAUGUGUUUCUAUGUAUUUGUCCACAGGAAACUGUAAAAAGAGAUGACAGACUGUGAACCAGAACUUCUCUUGACCCCCCAGAUAAGAAACGUCCCCUCACAAAAUUCUAAAUACAUGUACUACCCCAGUUUCAAGCUCGGCUUUUCCAAUUAUUUUAAUAACUGAAUAUGUACAUGUUUUCCCCUUUG
rnacentral:lncRNA from 1 species